UCCCUGGUGACUUUGCGGUUAAGGAUCCAGCAUUGUCACUGCUGUGGCUCGGGUUCGAUCCCUGGCCUGGGAA
rnacentral:tRNA from 1 species